GCGUUUACCCAAAGUAAAGAAAAUGAUAUAAAUAUUGUUAUUUGUAAACUGUGGAUAAUAUGGGAAUCGAUGGUGUACUGGACGCGCAAAUAACGAAUUUUACGAGCCGUCCUAUUAAGAAAUACAACAGCCGAGAACAGAAGAGCAGUCACAAACCAUUUUUUAUUCCACAAUAUUAGAUUGUAUUAACACAAAUAAAAUUUUUUUUUCAAGGCAUUCUCUACAAUAUCGAAGACAUUCAACGUAUAAAGGUUAGUCUUGAUUCAAAUACUUACCCUUGUAAUUUCAAUUUAAUGUUAGACAAAGUUAUUGCCCCAACGUCUCUGGAAAACGCGGAUGCAAAUUGUGGAGGAGGCAGAACUGGAAAAAGUAUCAGCCAAUCAUCAACAUGUCUGAAAAAAAAUUCCAAGAUAUUUCUAAGCCUAGCUCGUAAAAACGGGUGACAAGACAUGUAUGGCGCUAUCGAAGUACGAAAAUAGAAAAUUGCCAGACGAUAUUAGAGUAAAAGACACAAAAAGAAUUUCAUUUAUUCACCCUA